rnacentral:rRNA from 1 species
UGGGGAAUAUUGCACAAUGGGGGAAACCCUGAUGCAGCGACGCCGCGUGAAGGAAGAAGUAUCUCGGUAUGUAAACUUCUAUCAGCAGGGAAGAUAAUGACGGUACCUGACUAAGAAGCCCCGGCUAACUACGUGCCAGCAGCCGCGGUAAUACGUAGGGGGCGAGCGUUAUCCGGAUUUACUGGGUGUAAAGGGAGCGUAGACGGCGUAUCAAGUCUGAUGUGAAAGGCAGGGGCUUAACCCCUGGACUGCAUUGGAAACUGGUAUGCUUGAGUGCCGGGAGGGUAGCGG